rnacentral:tRNA from 1 species
GGGGGAAUAGCUUGGUGGUAGAGUGCAUGCUUAGCAUGCUCAAGAUCUUGGGUUCAAUCCCCAGUCCUUCCA